rnacentral:lncRNA from 1 species
AAAGGGCAGCCAUGGAUGAAGCUUCAUUCGGCCAUGGUGUUUUUGUAUGCAAGUAGGUAUUUUCUACUUGGUUUUUAAUAAUUUUUAUGUUUUCGGAAUCGUUGUUGCUUAAUCUAUCCAAUGAGGGGACUAAUUUGAAAAAAUAUUGAAUAGUUUGAGAUUUUCCAUUGAUGAUAAUGCUAGGGUUUCAAAGUUUUAUGGAAGAAAAUAAAUCCUUGUUGUUAAAUAAACAACUUUUGUUAAAGGAUUUUUAAUGAAAUUGUCAAAUAGGAGCUAAAUUGAUAAAUGUGAAAAUAGUGUGUUAAAUAUGUAAAAUUAUGAAUUGUAUGGGCUGAUAUGAGCAUGUAUGAUUUUCGGCUAGGCUUGGGUGUGAUGAAAUUUCAUGAAUUUUAAUUUUACAAGCCUAGGGACUAAAUUGUAAAAAGGUCAAAAGUAUAGGGGCAAAAUAGUAAAUUUUUCAUAAGAUGAAAUUUGAUUGAAUUGAGUAGAAUAAUGAUUAAAUGAGUUGAAUUUGAUUAUUUAGAUCAAGUUAAGCCUCAUGCGAGUCUAGAUCGAAGGAAAAGCAAAGAUUCAGACUAGUCGAUCAGUUCUGUCGUUUCAACGAUCGAGGUAAGUUCGUAUGCAAUAAGCAUUAUUAUAUUUAUGCUUUUAAUGCUUUGAUAUCAUAUAAAUUGUAUAUACAUGACUAUUGUCAUGUUUAACGACAUACCAGCUAAGAAUGGCACUUAGUGUGCGGUUUGAAAUAGCUUCGGCUAAAUGUGGAACUUGGUGUAUGAUUUGAGAUAGCUUUGGCUAUAUAUAUAUGUGGCACUUAGUGUGCGAAAUAUUAAGAAUGACACUUGGUGUGCCAGAUAUUCAGUGUGGCACUUAGUGUGCGAGACAUCGAAGAUGCAAUGGCAUUACGUGUAUGUGGCACUUAGUGUGCGAAAUAUGUACAGGUAUGUAUGCAAAACUUAUGAGAAAUGAUUUCGGUUUAUUAUGCAUCUUUGUAACGAAGUAAAUAAGUAAGUCAUGCCUAUAAGAAUGAUUUUGUGAUGACCUUGUGAUUAUGGGUCCAUGCUCAUGUUGUAUAAAUAUGUAUUUAUACCAUGGUGGUUGAAUUGAUUUGUAAAGGUGUUAUUAACUUAGUUAUCAUUAUUUACACUAAAACAGUUUUGGAUAGCAGCAGGAGUCCAACUUGAAAAAUUCACCAAAAAUGGUGGAAAUCAAACUAGUGGUUGAAUAAGAUAUGAAAUUAAAGAUUAUUGAGUCGAUUUUCUUAUAGAGAAAUGGUGUAAGUAAAAUAAUUUUAUAUUAUGAGAUAUUUGAAUUUUUGUGAGAUAGAGUCAGAAUAAUUUCGGAAUCCCCUAUUUUGAUUUGGGAAAAUCAUUAAAAAUUGUAAAAAAAUAAUUGUGGGUUAUAAUUUUUAUUAUUAAAAUCCUUAAUGAGUAUAUUUUCAAAAGAAACAAACGAAAACAUCAUCUGAAUUCCUUAUGAGGAGAUAAUAAAUUUUUAGUGAAGAAAGGUCGAAGCUGUCAAGCAGCAGAAUAGGGGUAAGUUUGAAGAAUAAAUUAUUCUUAUUGGCUAAUCCAUAAAUUCUGAAAAUUGUAUAGUAGAAAUAUAAUAGUUUCAAGGAAAAUUAACGGAAAUCUGUAGCUCAAGUUAUAAAUAAUUAAGUGACCAUUAGUCGAUUAGAUAGCUUGACUGAAUUAUGUGCAAUUAUGAUUGUGCUACCUUGAAAACAAGUUGUUAGAAUUUGGCAAAAGCAUGGUUAUAAGUUGCUUAUUAUUUUCAUACGGACUUACUAAGCUAUAUAGCUUACUCACCUUCCUUUCCCAUCUCUUAUAGGUUUAUUCAGCUAGCUCAGGUUGGAGAUUGCCGGAGAUUCAAUCACACUAUCAAGCUACCAUUUGGGGUCUAAGUAUUCAAGCACUUGAGUUUAUGGCAUGUAUAGGGGCUUAGUCAAUUGUGUAUGUGUCAUUUGGUUUGGCCAAAUGUAUUGGCUUAUGAUGAUAUGUUGAUUCAUUUUGUAUAUAUAGCCAUGAUAUGAGGCUUAUAUUGACUAUUUGGGUUGUAAUGUCUAAUUAUAUGUACUUGCAUGUGCCAAAGGUCAUGUGGUGUGAUAAUGUUGUUUAAUACGGAUG